rnacentral:rRNA from 1 species
UGCGUAGGCGGCCGAUUAAGUUUGUCGUGAAAUCUCCCGGCUUAACUGGGAGGGUGCGGCGAAUACUGACCGGCUCGAGUGUGGGAGAGGAGAGUGGAAUUCCUGGUGUAGCGGUGAAAUGCGUAGAUAUCAGGAGGAACACCGGCGGUGUAGACGGCUCUCUGGACCAUAACUGACGCUGAGGCACGAAAGCGUGGGUAGCAAACAGGAUUAGAUACCCUGGUAGUCCACGCCCUAAACGAUGCACAUUUGGUGUGGGCAGUUCAUUCUGUCCGUGCCGGAGCUAACGCGUUAAAUGUGCCGCCUGGGGAGUACAGUCGCAAGGCCGAA